GAUGAACGCUGGCGGCGUGCCUAAUACAUGCAAGUCGAGCGAACGGACGAGAAGCUUGCUUCUCUGAUGUUAGCGGCGGACGGGUGAGUAACACGUGGAUAACCUACCUAUAAGACUGGGAUAACUUCGGGAAACCGGAGCUAAUACCGGAUGAUAUUUUGAACUGCAUGGUUCAAAAGUGAAAGACGGUCUUGCUGUCACUUAUAGAUGGAUACGCGCUGCAUUAGCUAGUUGGUAAGGUAACGGCUUACCAAGGCAACGAUGCAUAGCCGACCUGAGAGGGUGAUCGGCCACACUGGAACUGAGACACGGUCCAGACUCCUACGGGAGGCAGCAGUAGAGAAUCUUCCGCAAUGGGCGAGAGCCUGACGGAGCAACGCCGCGUGAGUGAUGAAGGUCUUCGGAUCGUAAAACUCUGUUAUUAGGGAAGAACAUAUGUGUAAGUACCUGUGCACAUCUUGACGGUACCUAAUCAGAAAGCCACGGCUAACUACGUG
rnacentral:rRNA from 1 species